AGUGGCCUUGGUAUCCGGUAGGUCAGCCAGGUGGCACCCACCAGCCGCUACACCGAGGUGGGAAGCUGAGGCACAUGUCCUAAGGCCUCAGGUCCCAGGAGGGUGAUGCUGGAGGACCCAGAGGUGAACCACAGUGGGCCCAUCUACCCCUGGGAGAAGUAGGCAGGAGGAUUGAAAGGGGCUCUGAGCCUGAGCACUGGGCUGCAGGGCCAGGUGACCGGAAGUGGCAAGACCACCCGCCUCUCUGCCUUGGCUGUGCAGACACUCUGGGUCUCCCCUUGCACCUGGGAGAUGCUGCUAGAGAGGAGGAAACUGAGGUCGCCCAGGCCCUCCUUCCUCCAGGAGCUACACAGCCGGAAGGAGAGGGAGAGUCUAUACGUGUAACUGAGGCUGUGGAGACCCUGCAAGAUGCCAUGCUUCAGAGCCACAGCCACAUGUAGGGGCUGGGCAGCUGUCUCCUACAGCUGGGCCAUGGUCAGGUGUGCAUUGUGCCAGAGUGGGCCAAUGGUGGGCAGUGAGGUUGGAAUAUCAUCAACUUCAUGAAGAUGCUCUAUCUAGAAGUCUCCCUACCCUGAAGGGGAACGCAAGCCUUGGAAGAUGACAUGGUCUCAGCUCUGCCUGCACAGGUUUUUCUGAGGUUUCUCAUGUUCGCACCCCAGGGUUCCCUCCUUCCCCCUGUUUUGAAUCAGGGUGUUAAUAUAUUGCCCAAUCGGGACCCAAAUGACCUCCUAUGUCUACCUCCCAGGUACCUGGUGUUACAGAUGCGACACAGUGUAAGCCCUAUGCCAUUAUCAUGGGUCUGAAAUUGUUAGCAUGGUUCUGAAAUAGCACACAAUCAAUGGU